CAAUAGCGUAUAUUUAAGUUGUUGCAGUUAAAAAGCUCGUAGUUGGAUUUCGGUUAAGAGCGACCGGUCCGCCGUUUGGUGUGCACUGGUUGGUUUUAACUUCCUGUAGAGGACGUGCUCUGGGUUUAACGACCUGGACUCGGAGUCUACGUGGUUACUUUGAAAAAAUUAGAGUGUUCAAAGCGGGCUUACGCUUGAAUAUUUCAGCAUGGAAUAACACUAUAGGACUCCUGUCCUAUUUCUUUGGUCUCGGGACGGGAGUAAUGAUUAAGAGGAACAGUUGGGGGCAUUCGUAUUUCAUUGUCAGAGGUGAAAUUCUUGGAUUUAUGAAAGACGAACUUCUGCGAAAGCAUUUGCCAAGGAUGUUUUCAUUA
rnacentral:rRNA from 1 species